rnacentral:rRNA from 2 species
AGACCCGAAACCCGGUGAUCUAGCCAUGGGCAGGUUGAAGGUUGGGUAACACUAACUGGAGGACCGAACCGACUAAUGUUGAAAAAUUAGCGGAUGACCUGUGGCUGGGGGUGAAAGGCCAAUCAAACCGGGAGAUAGCUGGUUCUCCCCGAAAGCUAUUUAGGUAGCGCCUCGUGAAUUCAUCUCCGGGGGUAGAGCACUGUUUCGGCUAGGGGGCCAUCCCGGCUUACCAACCCGAUGCAAACUGCGAAUACCGGAGAAUGUUAUCACGGGAGACACACGGCGGGUGCUAACGUCCGUCGUGAAGAGGGAAACAACCCAGACCGCCAGCUAAGGUCCCAAAGUCAUGGUUAAGUGGGAAACGAUGUGGGAAGGCCCAGACAGCCAGGAUGUUGGCUUAGAAGCAGCCAUCAUUUAAAGAAAGCGUAAUAGCUCACUGGUCGAGUCGGCCUGCGCGGAAGAUGUAACGGGGCUAAACCAUGCACCGAAGCUGCGGCAGCGAACGUAUCACCCAAGACAACUUUACGGAGUUGACGAUUGACGGAGCGAAGCGACGUCAAAGCGUUCAUUAAAGUCGAGUUGGCUUAGGGAUACGUUCGUUGGGUAGGGGAGCGUUCUGUAAGCCUGUGAAGGUGUGUCGUGAGGCAUGCUGGAGGUAUCAGAAGUGCGAAUGCUGACAUAAGUAACGAUAAAGCGGGUGAAAAGCCCGCUCGCCGGAAGACCAAGGGUUCCUGUCCAACGUUAAUCGGGGCAGGGUGAGUCGACCCCUAAGGCGAGGCCGAAAGGCGUAGUCGAUGGGAAACGGGUUAAUAUUCCCGUACUUGGUGUUACUGCGAAGGGGGGACGGAGAAGGCUAUGUUGGCCGGGCGACGGUUGUCCCGGUUUAAGCGUGUAGGUGUGUGUUCCAGGUAAAUCCGGUUCACUUUAACACUGAGGCGUGACGACGAGGCACUACGGUGCUGAAGCAACAAAUGCCCUGCUUCCAGGAAAAGCCUCUAAGCAUCAGGUAACACGAAAUCGUACCCCAAACCGACACAGGUGGUCAGGUAGAGAAUACCAAGGCGCUUGAGAGAACUCGGGUGAAGGAACUAGGCAAAAUGGUGCCGUAACUUCGGGAGAAGGC